rnacentral:rRNA from 1 species
UACAGGGGGUGCAAACGUUGCUCGGAAUCAUUGGGCGUAAAGCGCACGUAGGCGGUUCGUUAUGUCGGAUGUGAAGCCCUUGGCUUAACCGAGGAAGUGCAUCCGAAACUGGCGAGCUAGAGUACGAAAGAGGAUCGCGGAAUUCCCGGUGUAGAGGUGAAAUUCGUAGAUAUCGGGAGGAACACCGGUGGCGAAGGCGGCGAUCUGGGUCGAUACUGACGCUGAGGUGCGAAAGCGUGGGAGCAACAGG